rnacentral:lncRNA from 1 species
CAAUGGCUCUCCUGUGGAUCCAACGAUCAUCUACUUUCUGAUACCCCAUGCGGCGUACGGAUCAAUCAUUAUAUAUAUCAAUAUAUAAAAGGGUCCUAGAUGUCUCACCCUCCAAAUCUAACCUCUACUUCCUAAAAAAAGUUUGAGGACUAUAUCAUAAGGCAAUGAGGCCUUCGAUCAGCUAGCUACCUCAUGCAUUUACUGUG